AGCGAACGCUGGCGGCAGGCCUAACACAUGCAAGUCGAACGCGUGUAGUAAUACACGAGUGGCAGACGGGUGAGUAACACGUGGGAACGUGCCCUUCGGUUCGGAAUAACUCAGGGAAACUUGAGCUAAUACCGGAUACGCCCGUUACGGGGAAAGAUUUAUCGCCGAUGGAUCGGCCCGCGUCUGAUUAGCUAGUUGGUGAGGUACGGCUCACCAAGGCGACGAUCAGUAGCUGGCUGAGAGGAUGAUCAGCCACACU
rnacentral:rRNA from 1 species